ACACUUACCUGGCAGGGGGAAAUACCACAAUCAAGAAGGUGGUUUCCUCAGGACGAGGAUCUUCCAUUGCAUACUUGGCUGGGUUGACCCCUGUGAUUUCCCCAAAUGUGGGAAACUGAACUGCACAAUUUAUGGUAGGUACAAGCCCACGGGUCAGUUCUAC